GAGUCCCUCGCCCUGUUGCGCUUGGCUGUGCGCCGCCGUGUCCCCUAAACCGCGGCGUCAGACAAAGAUGGACAUUGUCCAGUGAUGAACGCUGAUGCUAAGUUCCUCCCUUGCACAAAGUUCUGCUCCACAGACAGUGAUUGUCCGAGGACCUUGAAGUGCUGCACCAUGGGCUGUCUGCAAUCCUGUCUCGACCCAAUCACGGAAACCAAACCAUGAUCCUGUCCUGCGCUGAUCCACGAUUUACCUACGUGUGAUGAUCGAUGCUCUGACGACCUCGACUGUGACAAGAACCUCAAAU